rnacentral:rRNA from 1 species
UACGGGGGGUGCAAACGUUGCUCGGAAUCAUUGGGCGUAAAGCGCACGUAGGCGGCUCGUUAAGUCGGAUGUGAAAGCCCUGGGCUCAACCCAGGAAGUGCAUACGAAACUGGCGAGCUUGAGUAUGGAAGAGGGUCGCGGAAUUCCCGGUGUAGAGGUGAAAUUCGUAGAUAUCGGGAGGAACACCAGUGGCGAAGGCGGCGACCUGGGCCAAUACUGACGCUGAGGUGCGAAAGCGUGGGGAGCAAACAGG